rnacentral:tRNA from 1 species
GGGGCAUUAGCGCAGUUGGGAGCGCGCCACAAUGGCAUUGUGGAGGUCACCGGUUCGAGCCCGGUAUGCUCCACCA